rnacentral:rRNA from 1 species
UACGAAGGGGGCUAGCGUUGCUCGGAUUCACUGGGCGUAAAGCGCACGUAGGCGGAUCUUUAAGUCAGGGGUGAAAUCCUGGAGCUCAACUCCAGAACUGCCUUUGAUACUGGGGAUCUCGAGUCCGGAAGAGGUGAGUGGAACUCCGAGUGUAGAGGUGAAAUUCGUAGAUAUUCGGAAGAACACCAGUGGCGAAGGCGGCUCACUGGUCCGGUACUGACGCUGAGGUGCGAAAGCGUGGGGAGCAAACAGG